ensembl:lncRNA
ACUGCCUUGUGCAACUUCGGAGGAAAAUGAACAGGCAGACGGAUUUUAGAGAAUUUUAAGUCUUGAAGGGACCUUUGGAGAAAUCGGCAAAAAUUCUCUGCCAAACAUGGAUUGCACCAAAAUUAUGUGGCAGGGAAGGAGGUGACGCCUAAUGCUGCGGGCAGCCAAAACAGUAUUUUCCCCUGGGAUGUGGUCUGGUUAAAGCCACGAAGGCCUGGGCUGGUGAAGCAAUCAGAAGAAAGCAUCCAUCUGAAAGCUGGUAGAGGUUUCCUUCUUCAAGCAGCAUUGAUACAUGUGACAAUUGGCGUUGGAUUCCUACCAUGGGUAGAAUCAAGACUUCUUGAGAAAACAUGUUGCGUAGGAGAUAUGUGGGGAGAAGGAGCUGUUGAGUGAAAAUCUUGUUUGGAAAUGCUGAACAGUGCUAAACAUUUAGAGGAUAUCUUCAAUGUCUUGUGAAAGAAGUUAAGGAAACUCUAUAUAGUUUACUGUUCCUAGUAUGCACAUGUGAACUCUCAGACAAAUUUGGUGGAGGCAGAAGGAAGUUCUGUGUUCUGCUCAUUUGCUAGUUGAACAUAAAUUAUGUAUUACUAAAACCUUGCGGCAGGUAGUUUUUUGAAGAGCAUUAUACGUACUAGAAACUUUGAAGAAACAGUGCAAAUCUGAGUUUUUAAUUGUUUUGGUAGUUUCAUGUGCACAAAUUGUAGUUAAGCAUCUGAUUUCCCCUUAAUUUCAAUUACGUGUGCAUUUCUACUUGUUUCUUGAUGAACACAUUCCACAGGUGUUGAAAUCAGCAAAUAAAGUAUUUUGAACAUAUUUAUUUUAAGUUUCUUGCAUAUUAUCUUGCCAUUUUUGGGUUUUUGUCUUUUAUCAGAUCAGAUAACUUUCUUUGAGGAAAGCAGGCAAAAAAAGAACAGGAAGCUGGUUACAGCUUUUGAAAACAGAACCCAGUCUGUAAUCUUGCCAGCUCUAGGUAGAAUCCAGUAUGUAUCAUCCUUCUAACGACACAGGAUACAUGUGUUCAGGAUAUAUUUCAGAUUAUUAAUAAAAAAGAAAGUGAAGCAGCAAUCUUUGUGUAGAGAUUCUCUGAAAGUACUGCAGUGCAGACAUCUACAUGCUUUUCCAUUUCACUAAUCCAUCAAUACAUUUGACAGGUUUAAGCAUGUGUAUGUUACAUAAAGGAGAAGGAAGCCAGAUUUUAAUACAUAAAAGAGGUGAUAGCCUCAUCAAUUAGGCAAGUUUUUCAGUAUAGCAUUUCUCUAAAGUGAUUAACUUUGUAAAGAAGUUUUGUGAAGAUAUUCUGAAUUUGAAUGGGAACUAAAAUGGCCUAAUUUACUGAGUGGUCUUCAGUAAAAUUCUUCAAGUGGAAAGACAACUGAUGAAAUUAUUUGUAGAUAGUUGAUCCAUUUUAAUGUUAUAUUUCAUAUGAAAACUUUGUAUAAGGACAAGUAAUUUGAAAGCAUAUAUACACAUAGGUAAUGUUAAUGUGUUUUUCUAGCAUCUUUUCAGUUGAAAUAUAAAGUUGUUGCUGACCAGAUAAUUUCUUUAGUGUAAUUUCAUUUCAUCUGCUGUGGUUUGCUUAAUUUCCUUUAGAUCUAAGAACUUCUUUUGUUUCUGUGCUGUCUUGUUAAUCAGCAUUGUGAAAUCAUUUAGGUUGGAAUGGAAUCCUUGAGAGCAUCUGUUGCACCCCACCCUAGAACAGAUUGC